rnacentral:rRNA from 1 species
CAGUAGCCGCGGUAAUACGAAGGGUGCAAGCGUUACUCGGAAUUACUGGGCGUAAAGCGUGCGUAGGUGGUGGUUUAAGUCCGUUGUGAAAGCCCUGGGCUCAACCUGGGAAUUGCAGUGGAUACUGGAUCACUAGAGUGUGGUAGAGGAUAGUGGAAUUUCCGGUGUAGCAGUGAAAUGCGUAGAGAUCGGAAGGAACAUCUGUGGCGAAGGCGACUAUCUGGGCCAACACUGACACUGAGGCACGAAAGCGUGGGGAGCAAACAGGAUUAGAGACCCCGGUAGUCCCUGUCUCUUAUAA